rnacentral:ncRNA from 2 species
AUUUAAUAUGUCUUAUCAGGUGUUCAUGUAACUUAAAAGGGAAGACGGUGAAAAGCCGUUACAGCCCCCGCUACUGUAAGUGAGGAUGAAACCAGAGAAAAGCCACUCAAAUCUUAUGUUUGGGGAAGGUGCUGGGAGUAAAAUGAUUCAUAAGUCAGGAGACCUGCCUGGUAAAUAAGACGCAG